rnacentral:rRNA from 1 species
GAUGAACGCUGGCGACGUGCCUAAUACAUGCAAGUCGAGCGAACGGACGAGAAGCUUGCUUCUCUGAUGUUAGCGGCGGACGGGUGAGUAACACGUGGAUAACCUACCUAUAAGACUGGGAUAACUUCGGGAAACCGGAGCUAAUACCGGAUGAUAUUUUGAACCGCAUGGUUCAAAAGUGAAAGACGGUCUUGCUGUCACUUAUAGAUGGAUCCGCGCUGCAUUAGCUAGUUGGUAAGGUAACGGCUUACCAAGGCAACGAUGCAUAGCCGACCUGAGAGGGUGAUCGGCCACACUGGAACUGAGACACGGUCCAGACUCCUACGGGAGGCAGCAGUAGGGAAUCUUCCGCAAUGGGCGAAAGCCUGACGGAGCAACGCCGCGUGAGUGAUGAAGGUCUUCGGAUCGUAAAACUCUGUUAUUAGGGAAGAACAUAUGUGUAAGUAACUGUGCACAUCUUGACGGUACCUAAUCAGAAAGCCACGGCUAACUACGUGCCAGCAGCCGCGGUAAUACGUAGGUGGCAAGCGUUAUCCGGAAUUAUUGGGCGUAAAGCGCGCGUAGGCGGUUUUUUAAGUCUGAUGUGAAAGCCCACGGCUCAACCGUGGAGGGUCAUUGGAAACUGGAAAACUUGAGUGCAGAAGAGGAAAGUGGAAUUCCAUGUGUAGCGGUGAAAUGCGCAGAGAUAUGGUGGAACACCAGUGGCGAAGGCGACUUUCUGGUCUGUAACUGACGCUGAUGUGCGAAAGCGUGGGGAUCAAACAGGAUUAGAUACCCUGGUAGUCCACGCCGUAAACGAUGAGUGCUAAGUGUUAGGGGGUUUCCGCCCCUUAGUGCUGCAGCUAACGCAUUAAGCACUCCGCCUGGGGAGUACGACCGCAAGGUUGAAACUCAAAGGAAUUGACGGGGACCCGCACAAGCGGUGGAGCAUGUGGUUUAAUUCGAAGCAACGCGAAGAACCUUACCAAAUCUUGACAUCCUUUGACAACUCUAGAGAUAGAGCCUUCCCCUUCGGGGGGGACAAAGUGACAGGUGGUGCAUGGUUGUCGUCAGCUCGUGUCGUGAGAUGUUGGGUUAAGUCCCGCAACGAGCGCAACCCUUAAGCUUAGUUGCCAUCAUUAAGUUGGGCACUCUAAGUUGACUGCCGGUGACAAACCGGAGGAAGGUGGGGAUGACGUCAAAUCAUCAUGCCCCUUAUGAUUUGGGCUACACACGUGCUACAAUGGACAAUACAAAGGGCAGCGAAACCGCGAGGUCAAGCAAAUCCCAUAAAGUUGUUCUCAGUUCGGAUUGUAGUCUGCAACUCGACUACAUGAAGCUGGAAUCGCUAGUAAUCGUAGAUCAGCAUGCUACGGUGAAUACGUUCCCGGGUCU